GACGAACGCUGGCGGCGUGCCUAAUACAUGCAAGUCGAACGCAGUGGGGACGGGUGAGUAACACUUGGGUAACCUCCCAUCAGCGGGGAUAACACUUGGAAACAGGUGCUAAACCUAUACUGAUGGAUGGACCGGCGGUGCAUUAGCUAGUUGGUGAGGUAACGGCUCACCCAGGCCACGGUGGAUAGGGGACCGGAGAGGAUGAUGGGGAACAGGGGGAAGGGGACACGGCCCAAAAUGGGACGGGAGGAAGCAGGAAGGAAGCUGCGGAAAGUGACGAAAGUCUGAACGAGCAAAGCCGGGGAAGUGAGAAAGGGUAUCGGAUCGUAGAACUCGGGGGUUAGUGAAGCGGUAUCUAACCAGAAAGCAACGGCUAACUACGUGCCAGCAGCCGCGGUAAUAC
rnacentral:rRNA from 1 species